UACGUAGGGCGCAAGCGUUGUCCGGAAUUAUUGGGCGUAAAGAGCUCGUAGGCGGUUGUCACGUCGGAUGUGAAAGCCCGGGGCUUAACCCUCGGGUCUGCAUUCGGUACGGGCAUGCUGGAGUUCGGUAGGGGAGACUGGAAUUCCCGGUGUAGCGGUGAAAUGCGCAGAUAUCGGGAGGAACACCAAUGGCGAAGGCAGCUUGCUGGGACGGUACUGACGCUGAGGCGCGAAAGCGUGGGUAGCAAACAGG
rnacentral:rRNA from 1 species